rnacentral:misc_RNA from 1 species
GAUGAAGAACGUAGCGAAAUGCGAUAAGUAGUGUGAAUUGCAGAAUUCAGUGAAUCAUCGAAUCUUUGAACGCACAUUGCGCCCCUUGGUAUCCCGAGGGGCAUGCCUGUUCGAGCGUCAUUUCACCACUCAAGCCUGGCUUGGUGUUGGGCGACGUCCUCUUUGGGGACGCGCCUCGAAACGCUCGGCGGCGUGGCACCGGCUUUAAGCGUAGCAGAAUCUUUCGCUUUGGAAGUCGGGGCCCCGUCUGCCGGAAGACCUGCUCGCAAGGUUGACCUCGGAUCAGGCAGGGAUACCCGCUGAACUUAAGCAUAUCGAUAAGCGGAGGA